rnacentral:rRNA from 1 species
AGCAGCCGCGGUAAUUCCAGCUCCAAUAGCGUAUAUUAAAGUUGUUGCAGUUAAAAAGCUCGUAGUUGAAUUUCGGGAUCAAUAUGUCGGUCGUGCCUCGGUACGUACUGGCGUAAUUGGUUUCUCCCUUCUGAAGAACCUCGAUGUCAUUAAUUUGGUGUCGUGGGGAAUCAGGACUGUUACUUUGAAAAAAUUAGAGUGUUUAAAGCAGGCUCGCGCUUGAAUACAUUAGCAUGGAAUAAUGAAAUAGGACGUUUGAUUCUAUUUUGUUGGUUUCUAGGAUCGACGUAAUGAUUAAUAGGGAUAGUUGGGGGCAUUAGUAUUCAAUUGUCAGAGGUGAAAUUCUUGGAUUUAUUGAAGACUAACUACUGCGAAAGCAUUUGCCAAGGAUGUUUUCAUUAAUCAAGAACGAAAGUUAGGGGAUCGAAGACGAUCAGAUACCGUCGUAGUCUUAACCAUAAACUAUGCCGACUAGGGAUCGGAUGAUGUUGAUUUUUAAUGACUCGUUCGGCGCCUUAAC